ACUGAUGCGAAAGGGGAGCGGAUUCCCGUUACGGGAAAUGGUAGAAUGGGGGACACCAGGGGGAGCGGCUUUUUGUUUUUAAUGAGCUGAGGGCGAAACGUGGGGGCAACCGGAUUGAUACCCUGUUGUCCCCCCGUAACGAUGGGGCUAAGUGUUGAGGGUUUCCACCCUUAGUCUGUAGCUAACCCUUAACCCUCCGCUGGGGGUCGCUCCAAGAGUGAAAUCAAAGGAAUGACGGGGGCCGCACAAGCGGGGAGCAUUGGGUUAAUUGAAGCAACGCGAAAACCUUACCAGGUCUGACAUCCCCGGCAACCCGAGAGAUCGGCGUUCCCCUUCGGGGGACAGGGGACAGGUGUGCAUGUUGUCGUCAGCUCGUGUCGUGAGAUGUGGGUUAGUCCCGCAACGAGCGCAACCCUCGACCUUAGUGCCAGCAUUCAGUGGGCACUCUAAGGUGACUGCCGGCUAAAAGUCGGAGGAAGGUGGGGAUGACGUCAAAUCAUCAUGCCCCUUAUGACCUGGGCUACACACGUGCUACAAUGGGCGGUACAAAGGGUCGCGAACCCGCGAGGGGGAGCCAAUCCCAAAAAGCCGCUCUCAGUUCGGAUUGCAGGCUGCAACUCGCCUGCAUGAAGCCGGAAUCGCUAGUAAUCGCGGAUCAGCAUGCCGCGGUGAAUACGUUCCCGGGCCUUGUACACACCGCCCGUCACACCACGAGAGUUGGAACACCCGAAGUCGGUGAGGUAACCCUUA
rnacentral:rRNA from 1 species